AUUGAACGCUGGCGGCAUGCCUAACACAUGCAGGUCGAACGGUAGCAGACCUAGCUUGCUAGGUGCUGACGAGUGGCGGACGGGUGAGUAACGCGUGGGAAUCUGCCCAGUAGCGGGGGACAACUCGGGGAAACUCGAGCUAAUACCGCAUACGCCCUACGGGGAAAGGCUUCGGCCACUAUUGGAUGAGCCCGCGUCGGAUUAGCUUGUUGGUGGGGUAAUGGCCUACCAAGGCGACGAUCCGUAGCUGGUCUGAGAGGAUGAUCAGCCACACUGGCACUGAGAUACGGGCCAGACUCCUACGGGAGGCAGCAGUGAGGAAUAUUGCGCAAUGGGCGAAAGCCUGACGCAGCGACGCCGCGUGGGGGAUGAAGGUUUUCGGAUUGUAAACCCCUUUCAUGAGGAAAGAUAAAGUGGGUAACCACUUAGACGGUACCUCAAGAAGAAGCCACGGCUAACUUCGUGCCAGCAGCCGCGGUAAU
rnacentral:rRNA from 1 species